rnacentral:rRNA from 1 species
UUCGCAAUGCCCGAAAGGGUGACGAAGCGACGCCGCGUGUGGGAAGAAGGCCUUCGGGUUGUAAACCACUGUCGGGAGUUAAGAAAUGCAAGGAUAUGAAUAGUGUCUUUGCUUGACUAAGGCUCCGGAGGAAGCCACGGCUAACUCUGUGCCAGCAGCCGCGGUAAUACAGAGGCGGCAAGCGUUGUUCGGAAUUAUUGGGCGUAAAGAGCACGUAGGCGGCACAGUAAGUCGGUUGUGAAAGCCUUCCGCUCAACGGGAGAACAGCAUCCGAUACUACAUGGCUUGAGUGCGGGAGGGGAGAGUGGAACUUCUGGUGGAGCGGUGAAAUGCGUAGAUAUCAGAAGGAACGCCGGCGGCGAAAGCGGCUCUCUGGCCCAUAACUGACGCUGAGUGUGCGAAAGCUAGGGGAGCAAACGGGAACAGAUACCCCGGUAGUCCUAGCCGUAAACGAUGGGCACUAAGUAGAGGGGUAUUU